CGGCGGACGGGUGAGUAACGCGUGGGAACAUACCCUUUGGUACGGAAUAGCCUCGGGAAACUGGGAGUAAUACCGUAUGUGUCCUUUCACUGUAGUGGUGAGGGGAGAAAGAUUUAUCGCCAAAGGAUUGGCCCGCGUUGGAUUAGGUAGUUGGUGGGGUAAUGGCCUACCAAGCCGACGAUCCAUAGCUGGUUUGAGAGGAUGAUCAGCCACACUGGGACUGAGACACGGCCCAG
rnacentral:rRNA from 1 species